rnacentral:rRNA from 1 species
CCUACGGGAUGCAGCAGUGGGGAAUAUUGCACAAUGGGCGCAAGCCUGAUGCAGCCAUGCCGCGUGUGUGAAGAAGGCCUUCGGGUUGUAAAGCACUUUCAGCGGGGAGGAAGGCGAUAAGGUUAAUAACCUUGUCGAUUGACGUUACCAGCAGAAGAAGCACCGGCUAACUCCGUGCCAGCAGCCGCGGUAAUACGGAGGGUGCAAGCGUUAAUCGGAAUUACUGGGCGUAAAGCGCACGCAGGCGGUCUGUCAAGUCGGGUGUGAAAUCCCCGGGCUCAACCUGGGAACUGCGUUCGAAACUGGCAGGCUAGAGUCUUGUAGAGGGGGGUAGAAUUCCAGGUGUAGCGGUGAAAUGCGUAGAGAUCUGGAGGAAUACCGGUGGCGAAGGCGGCCCCCUGGACAAAGACUGACGCUCAGGUGCGAAAGCGUGGGGAGCAAACAGGAUUAGAUACCCUCGUAGUC